GACGAACGCUGGCGGCGUGCCUAAUACAUGCAAGUCGAGCGCAGGAAAUCAUCCGAACCCUUCGGGGGGACGUUGAUGGAAUGAGCGGCGGACGGGUGAGUAACACGUAAAGAACCUGCCCUCAGGUCUGGGAUAACCACGAGAAAUCGGGGCUAAUUCCGGAUGGGUCAUCGGACCGCAUGGUCCGAGGAUGAAAGGCGCUUCGGCGUCGCCGGGGGAUGGCUUUGCGGUGCAUUAGCUAGUUGGUGGGGUAAUGGCCCACCAAGGCGACGAUGCAUAGCCGACCUGAGAGGGUGAUCGGCCACACUGGGACUGAGACACGGCCCAGACUCCUACGGGAGGCAGCAGUAGGGAAUCUUCCACAAUGGACGAAAGUCUGAUGGAGCAACGCCGCGUGAACGAUGAAGGCCUUCGGGUCGUAAAGUUCUGUUGUAAGGGAAGAACAAGUGCCGCAGGCAAUGGCGGCACCUUGACGGUACCUUGCGAGAAAGCCACGGCUAACUACGUGCCAGCCGCCGCGGUAA
rnacentral:rRNA from 1 species